rnacentral:misc_RNA from 1 species
UGUGUGUGACUUACAAACCCAGCAUUCAAUUGAUACUCCCAGAAUUCAUUGAGCUUAGAGUUGGUGAUCUCAACGACAGGCAGCUGUGUAAUAGAACACCCGGAAUGGCAGAGAGGCGAAUUUCCGUUUGUGUAUUUUUUAAAAUGAAAACAGCGAAUUCUGCUUGUGUUUUAUUUUUAAAUAACAUUGUGGCAUACAUUGAAAACAUUUUAUCGUAAUCGCAAACAUUCCUGUUGUUAAAUACAUGUAAAUUAAUGUUUGUGUAAAUAUUUUAUCUACAUGUACAUUUUUUAAAGAUUUGUUGAUAUUAACUCAAGGUAUUGUAAAUUCCUUUGGCAAUCUGAGCUGAUUUAAUUAUUAGUUUUCUUUUUUUUUAUUUUGUCAACUUAAGAUUUUAAGGAACAUACCAGUAAAUGUAUGUAUUAUC